GAUGAACGCUGGCGGCGUGCUUAACACAUGCAAGUCGAGCGAAGCACUUUACUUGGAUUUCUUCGGAAUGACGAGUAUUGUGACUGAGCGGCUGACGGGUGAGUAACGCGUGGGUAACCUGCCUCAUACAGGGGGAUAACAGUUAGAAAUGACUGCUAAUACCGCAUAAGACCACAGCACCGCAUGGUGCAGAGGUAAAAACUCCGGUGGUAUGAGAUGGACCCGCGUCUGAUUAGCUAGUUGGUGGGGUAACGGCCUACCAAGGCGACGAUCAGUAGCCGGCCUGAGAGGGCGACCGGCCACAUUGGGACUGAGACACGGCCCAAACUCCUACGGGAGGCAGCAGUAGGGAAUUUUCCACAAUGGGCGAAAGCCUGAUGGAGCAAUGCCGCGUGCGGGAUGAAGGUCUUAGGACUGUAAACCGCUUUUAUAUGUGAAGAUUAUGACGGUAGCAUAUGAAUAAGGAUCGGCUAACUACGUGCCAGCCGCCGCCGUAA
rnacentral:rRNA from 1 species